CCUGCUCACAGCCUGUGUGGCCCUGCAGACAGACAUUGAGCUCACAGUGCAGAUAGGCUACGGAGUGAUUCAGCAUCUGGAACAGCUGGAUGGUGAAGCUGGCAGCUCCGGACUCACUGCUCGGCAGUAGCUGGAUGUGUUUGCAUUCAGCUGGCAGCCUGGCAAGGGCAAACAGAAAACAGCUUCAGCUUCCAGCACUUACCAGGUAAGAGCAGGGAAGGGGAAGACACUGCUCUGCAUAGGCUGUCUGCCAGGUCCCAGGCAAACAAAAAUCCCCAAAUCUCAGUGUCCCAGCCUGGAUGUACGUCUGCUGUUGUUUCUUGAAGGUCUAUUGUGUUAAAACCUCUAAAAGGGCUGCAGUGCUGUGGUUCUCAUUGCCUGACUCAGAUGCAGCAGCAGCACAAGGGUGAGCUCUCACUGCAGCCAGGGUCCCCCAUCUUUGGGCUGCUCUGUUCCCAGGCUGUGUGCUCCCCCAGGAGAAAAGGCAGGAGGAUGCUGUACAAUGAUAAUACUGCACAAGAAAGCGGGACAUGUUAUCUGUAGGGGUCAAAGUGUGAAGGAAGGACAGCCAUGUGUCUUAUGGUGCUGAUUACAGAACGUGUCCCCCACCCCAGCCUCACUUGGAGCUCCCAGUGCCAUACCUGGGCAGCGGGCAGCACACGGCGCUGGGGCCCUGCAGGCUGCUGGAUGGUGUCACACAGCAGGAGCGGAGCUGCAGCACGGGCUGGAGGCUGCUCUGCACGGCCACGAGAGCCAGGAAGGAGUCCUGGGUGGGGGGCGAGCCCUGCAGCCCCAGGCUGGUGUCUGCCACAGGGCGCAGGGUCAUCCGCACUGUGUAGUUCCCGGAGCCACAGAGCUCAUCGCUGACAACCACAACGCUGCAGGGGAAAGAAGAAACCAGCUGAGCCCAGCCCUGCUGUGCAGCUGCUCAGUGCUAGGGUCGGUUUCCUUGGUGAAACCAAACAGAUCUGCAAGAUGUUUGCAAACAAGUUGAAUGAAAUGAAGAGCAAGUAGACCCUGGUGUGACCAGAACCACCUCCUGCCUCUGCACAGCCACGUGGGGAACAUCCACAUGAUGCUGGAGCGUCUCACUGUGCCAUCAGAUGCUCCCACAUCACAGAGCUGCAUGUAGAGCUGUUUAGGAGGAGAGGCAGAGAGUCAAAGGCUGCUGUGCAAAAGAAAGCCGGGUCUGGAAGGACAGUGCUAACAUCUGAGAUGUAGAAAGAUUACUUAAAAAAAAAAAAAAUUAUGAGGUCACCGCAGAAUGAACUGAGUGCUCUUAAGCCAGCAGUGCAUCACGCCCGUGCUGCUGAGCCCAUGGGCACUGUAGAUGUUAACCCCUCCGCCCUCUGCACAGCAGCAGCUCCCGCACCAACCAAUUACCCGCUCAGCACGGCGCCCUCGGGCUGCACGGCGCUGCGGCGGCGGGGCUCUCCCGGCUGCGACCCCAGCGGUGUGAGGUCGGUCACUGAGCCUUCAGCUGCUUCUUCGGUCACCUCGCGGGGUCCGACCUCCUCCUCUUCCUCGGUGCUCAGGGGCAGCCCCACAGCCGAUCCUGUUGGAGGCGGUCCAGGGCGCUGCCCAGUGGAGCUGUGCCUCUCAAUCACAGCUUCUGCAGACUGCACUGGGGCUAAAGCAGCCUCGCUGCCCUGCACUGCUGCGGGGCGCUGCUCCACCCUCGUGUUAAACACGGCUGCCAAAGGAGUGCUGCUCCCCGCGGGUCCUGUUUUCCUCGCACUCGUGCUGACUUCAGUUGGCUUUGCAUCUUCUCCCACACUGCCCUGUGCUCGGGUGCUCCGGUCGUGUUUCAUGGCUGAUGGCGGGGGAAUGUGCAUGGCCACUGAGGGACGCAGGCUUGCAGGGUGUACAUUCUCGGUGUACAUUCUCGGAUGGGUAACUGCAGCCAGCAGCUUCCCAGACGUUGUUUUCACGUGAACCUUUGCUGAAAAUGGUGACAGCACUGGCGUUGGCGCUGGGGUCUCCACCGCCGCCGGGGGCUUGGGCACGGCGGGUGUGAGCUCCAUGUGCUUGGCAAGGUCAGGGCUUAUAGAAGAGGGUGGGGUUGGUGCUGCCCUGGGCUGCAGAGCCACUCCCGGCCAGGCGGCGCUGCCCGCAGCUGAAUCUCUCCUUUCGCUGCCAGUGGGAGGCGCUGGGGGCAUCCCCAGUACCGUGCCGGGCACAACCCCAGCCGGUGAUGGCAGCCUUUGGAGCGGCUCGGAGCUGAGGAUGCUUUGCGGUGUGGACUGCAAAGGCACAGUGCUUGUGGACACCCUCAAUGGGUAAUUCGUGGUCCUGGCUGAGCGCAGACACUCAGCGCACUGCGCACGGGCAGAGGACGGUGCGGGGGCUGAGCCCUGAACGGCGCCUUGCAGAGCUGCCUCCUUGCUGGGCUCGGCCAGAUCCACUGCCCCUGCGAUGGGAAACGGAGGCUGGGCUGGGAGUGGCGGAUCGGGCAGUCCCACCGCUGGCAGUGACGAAGAAAGCAACUUCCCAGCUGUGAGAGGUGCUCUGGGGGCAGUGCGGGGGACGCGUGUGGACACCACGGGGAUGGCACGGCUGUGCCCAGCAGUAACUGCUUGCACACCUUGCUGGUUGGUGAACAAGGGAGUUUUGUGUUUGCCUUCACCCUCAGGAGAGGGCCCCCCCUGUAAGCCUGGUCUGUCGGUGGGAAAGAGGAUAAAUAUGGGCUUAACCAGGAUUAAGCUGGAAAGACUCAGGUUUGUUAAGUCCCCAAGAUCUAAUAAUGAAGAAUUUGACUCUGUGAGGAUUUGCUGAGCAGAAACCAAAGUCCCAAUGCUGACAUUUGGGAAUUGCAUAGGCAAAGGGGAAUCCUGUGUGGGAAGCAGGCAUAGCAUGCCAUCAGUAUUUCUAAGCAGGAAGGACAAAUAAGGGAAUGAUGGUAACACGGUAAGGAGAUCGGUUCUGAUAGCACUGAGGUGUUUGGUAGAUGUGUGGUGUGAUGAACCCAACUGCUGCACCAGCAGCUGUGCCAGGUGUGCUGGGAUCCCCUCAGAAACAGCAGCCUCCACCACUUUGGGAUGUGCAGUUGUGCUGGGCUGGCUUUCCUGAGCAGAGGGUGGGUGCAGAGACCCGGAAUGAGCUGAAGUGGGUGAAGUUGGUACGUGAAGUCCUUGCUCAGCAGAAGCGGGGAUGCCCGCUAACUGGGAUCCAGCAGAAGGAGCAGAUACACCCAGUGGCUGAAGUGCUGCAUGAACAGCAUUGGGAGCACUCACAGCUCGAAGGGCUGCAUGCUCCAGGGUGGAUGUGCCUGAGGAGAGUGCAGAUGGAGCUCCUUUUGUCUCUGUAGUAGUUUGGGAAAGGUUUAAGGGGGACAUCUGUGACUGGCUUACCAAGGACGCACUAGCAGAAACCUGUGGCUUCUCAGGGAAUCUGGAUUUUUCAGGUUUACUUGUCAUCUGGUGAUCAGCAUCUCUUUGCAAAACCAGGGCUGUGCUUCCUUGAGAGCUACUGUGGGUUUCUUGGGAGGAGUGGUGUUUGGUACAGCUGAGAGUCCGGGGCAAAGGGAGAGGCUGUGGUCUGUCAGCAGCAGUAGUGGGCUCUUGAGAUGGAGAGUGGGGUAAAUCACCACGAUGCAGGGCUCCCAGAGGCAUCAGCGGGGAGGAGGAGUGUGCAUGGCCUUGCAGAACAUCCUGCAGAGCAGACGGCCGGGCUGCAUGUCCAGACCCACUUAUGACAGCUGCUGUUGAGUUCCUGCCCUCGCUGCCUGCUGUCCCUCGCUUCAGAGGAUCGGCUGCCGGAGUCUGAACAUAAUUGGUCGCCUCACCCAAGUCAUCUUCUGUGACGGACAGCGGACUGCUCCCAGAUAUUGGUUGGGUUUCUCCAGGAAAGCUCAGGUCUGGGGCUCCCCCGACAUGGUGCUCGGCUCUGGGGGCACCUAGCAGACAGAAAUGGAGCUUUGUCUAUUUCCUUGUCCAUCAACUUCCAACAGUUUGCAGCAGCACUUUGCAACAGGCUGAGAGGGAAGCGAAAAGUUAGGGAACUUCUUUGGGAAUAGUGAGCAGAGUAAAGGGGAACCAAAAAGUAGAUAUGGCUAAAAAAUGGAUUCUGAUGGCUGAUGGAGACUGGGAUGUUAAGGCUAUGGAAAUUAUGAAUUAUGACUUUGUCCAAAUAGAUGGAACUUCCAUAGCUUAGCCCCACCUCAGCAAAGCAAUACAAGUGUCUAUAGAUCCGCAUGAACUCAAAUUCUUUAAUGAAUCAAAGUCUCAGAUAAGGAAAGUGCCACAUAUACAUAAACACACCUUUUUGGGGGACCAGUCUCUGCUGUGAGUGACAGCAGCCCUAGGAACUUGCUUGAGGCACAAUAGCAUUACCAACUCAGUUUGCUUUCAUGCUGGCCAGACAGCUGUUCCCAAAGAAGGUUGUGCCCACUCAUCCCCUUACCACACAGCUGAGACCCAUGGCAUCACACCCAGCACUGGAAAGAAGGUGGAAAGACAGCAAAUGGCAUCAGGACAGAACGCAUCACUCACCAGAGAAAUCCAACAGCUCCGAUGCAAUCAGAACAAAAAUGGGAAGCAGGUCCUGCAUUUUGUGAAGCAGCUCCUGAGUCACACCCCAGUAAUGAUGUGUUCAGAGGAGGCAACUUGCUAAGCAGCCAUUGCUGCUUCCCAGCAGAGAGCAUUGGCUGUGUUUGUUCUGGAGGGGCAGAGUAUGGGGUUACUUUAUAAGGGUUUAGGUCAGGCAGCAACCAAUAAUCUUGGUCCAAAAAAAAAAAGAAAAAAGAAAGAUAUUCUGAAGGCUGAACCAAUGGGAAUCAGCUGAUUUUUAACAAAAGAAUACUGUGCUCAUGUGCAUGACAGAGAUGGAAGACCUGAUUGGCAGUGUGCAGGGCAGCACCUCACUUCUGAAGAAAAGUUCAGCGUGCUACCUGAGCCAGGAUCCAAAGCUUUUGACAUCUGUGAGCCAUACACAGAGGGAUGAGCCUGGGUCUCAGGUGGAGGCCCCUCAUAAAGCAAGAUGCCCAGCCCUGUGAGCCCAAAUAACAGCCUUUCCCUCCAUGAGCCCCCCAGGUGUGUUCAGUGGCAGGAAGGAGGUCACAGUUCUGCUUCUGCCAGCACCCCAGGUCUGUAGAGCCCCACCAGGGUUUGUGCCCCACUUACAGAGCUCAGGCUCAGAUCAAUGGAAGUGGACCCCAGCAAUAUGCUAGUUCUGUCCAGCCCAGAGCAGUCUGAGCCAGCAGCUGAUGUCAUCUGCCUGGAGUCAUGCAACGCCUUGGAUGUGGUCCCAUGCCACAUCUUUAUCUCUAAAUGGAGAGAGAUGGAUUUGAAGGCUGGACUAUGUGUUGGAUAAGGAAUUGGUUGGAUGGUCGCAGCCAGAGGGCUGUUGUCAAUGGCUCCAUGUCCAGGUGGAGGCCGGUGAUGAGUGGUGUCCCCCAGGGGUCCAUCCUGGGACCGGAGCUCUUCAGCAUCUCUAUCAGUGACACAGAUGGUGGGAUAGAGUGCACCCUCAGCAGUUUGCUGAUGACACCGAGCUGAGUGGUGCAGUGGACACAACAGAAGGAAGGGACGCCAUGCAGAGGGACAUUCCAGGGGGAAUGGCUUUUAACUACAAGAGCGGAGAUGUGGGUUAGAUGUGGGGAAGCAAUCCUUUCCUCAGAGGGCGGUGAGGCGCUGGCACUGCUGCCCAGAGAUCUGUGGGUGCCCCAUCCCUGCAGGCACUCAAGGCCAG
ensembl:lncRNA